UCCAGCCUGGGCAACAGAGCAAGACUCUGUCUCCAAAAAAGAAAAAAAGACAAAGAAAAAAGAAAAAAAAAGAAUAUCUGCUUCUGGGGAACUGAUGAGGCUUGAUCUUUUGGAGUUAGAUCUUCCCUCCUCUGUGGCUCAGACCCAAUCCAAACUGGAGGCUGCAGUGGGGAAGGAAAACACUGUUCUUUUUACUCUUUUCUGCUCACCUUCUUUCUCCCCUCUCCCAUACAGCUGCUGUUUCACUCUUUGCCAGAGUCUAAGGUAGGUGAGGUGCGAAUGACGGGGUAGUUCAUACUUUGCUGAGUGGCUUUGUAUUAUCUGGGUCUGGCAAAUAUUUGAAGUGGAGACCCUAGUUAGGCCUAGCCAAUGCAGAAAGUACAUCUGUUCUUCCAUAGGAGCUUUGGAGGUUCCUGUGUGUUUUCUGUUCAUCCCCUUUCUCCCUCUUGCAGUUGUCUUGACCCAAGGUUGAUGCAUCUGGUUCCUAAGCCGACACCCCAAACAAGCAGAGAGUACAAGUGUGCACCUAUUCCACAUUCAUUACAAUGCAGGCACCUGAAAGGUGAGGAAAGAAUGGAAGGUAAUUCAAAUCGAUCCAUUGUUUUAUGCCUUGUGGGAAGGCUUGUCCCCCAGGAAUGUAAACUUAACUAGGGAGUUUUUUUAGUAAUCACAUUUACAAAAGUAAUGAAGCUAUUGGAUGGUCUUUUUUGAUUUAAAAACAAACAGACUCAUGAUAACUAAUUAAAUGGAGAAUCAAGAACCGUUUCAUAGUUCAGAUCAACACUGGGGUCUUAGUUCCUACCCACGUCUUCACUUUGGUGUUCCUGACUCUGUCAAGUGUCCUACUACCCCUGCCAUCCUGCCCUGACCAAAUUUUGUGUUCCAUAUUGUCUUAGUCCCUUCAGGUUACUAUAACAAAAUACCAUAAACUGGGUGGCUUAUAAACAACAGAACUUUAUUGUUUACAAUUCUAGAGGCUACAAAGUCCAAGAUCGAGGCACCUGCAGAUUAAGUGUCUAGUGAGGGCCAGCUUCCUGGUUCAGACAGUAUCUUCUCUCUGUGUCUCUACAUGGUGGAAGAGACAAAGCAGCUCUGUGAAGCCUCUUUAAGAAAGGCUCUAGUCUCAUUCAUGAAGACUCUAGCUUCAUGGCCUAAUCACCUCCCAAAGACCUAGCCUCCUAAUACCAUCAUCUUGGGGGUUAGGAUAUGAAUUUUGGGGGACACAGACUUUCAGACUAUAGAACACAUCUUUUCCAAUUCCCUUCUUUUCUCUCUCUCUUUUAUUGAAACUUAACAUUGCUUUGUCCCUCCACCCUCUAGCUCUCUGCCAAGUAUGCUGGGAGGAAAUUGUGAAUAGCUUAUAUCAGUCUGUGUUAAUGUGUGGUCAUUACUUGGACUGUCUUUUCCAGGGUGAUAGCUGUCACUAGAGGAAAUUGUGCAAUCCUAAAAGACAGAUUCUACUCAUUGGAAUUGCCUGAGAAUUUAUUCCCUUCAACUUGACAGUCUUGGAGGCUUAGAUUGUGUAUCAGGUCAAAAUGGGAUAAAUUAGAAUCUAUCUAUGUAGUUACAAUAAUGAGAAACUAGCAUGGCAAGUUUCAUUCUAAAAGAUCUUAGAUUACAAAUAGAUAUUUUUCUUAGAAGCAGCUGUUUAUUUACUGGCUACCCUGUGCUCAACACCAAGGACACAAAGGUAAACAGGCUACCAUCUUGCCUUCAAGGAGCUUCAUGGAAACAUGCAUUGUGCUUUGAAACACAACCAUCCAAAUCAUACCUGCACACGUCAUAAAGGUGAUGUAGAGGAGGCUGAGUCACCAACCAUUUACAUCUAUGAAACUGAUGAACUAUCGGGUUGGAAAAGUCAGGCAGUGGUGUGCUGGAGCCAACUUUCAUGAUUGUUUAUGACCGCCAAUUAUGAGCCUCUCUUCCCAACUCUGUACUCAGUUAUGUCCCAAUUAAUAGCUUGAAAUCAGCCAUGGUGGGAGAAUUUACACCACAGAAAUUGGUAAGUGCUUAUAAAUCAGAUAAAUCAGGGCUUCUUUUUGUUUCUAGAGAAGCAAAUGUUAAACAUUUACCAGCACACCACAAAAGUCAGGCUAGGGCUUUCUUCUUCUGACUUUCAUUUUGACUGCCAAUUCACUUUAGAGUGAACCAUUUAGCAUCUU